GUGAAUCAUCAAAUUUUUGAACGCAAAUUGCGCUUCCUGCCAUCCCGGGAAGUAUGCCUGUGUGAGUGUCAGUAUUAAUAAAAAAUCGGUUUAGUUACAACUUGUGACGUUUCCGGAGUUUGGACUAUCUUCACGUUUUUGGUUAAGAGGCUUAAAAUUUACCUUUUGUGCGCAUUUUUAAACGUACAUAAAUUUUUUUAUUCGUCUAUUCUUAAUGCCAAAAUCUUAUUAGAUGCGAUCACCUCGUUGGGCUUCGU
rnacentral:misc_RNA from 1 species